GCUUACUCUCUAUCUGUCACC
rnacentral:miRNA from 2 species